rnacentral:rRNA from 1 species
CGGUAAUACGUAGGGUGCGAGCGUUAAUCGGAAUUACUGGGCGUAAAGCGUGCGCAGGCGGUUUUGUAAGACAGAUGUACUGUCCCCGGGCUUAACCUGGGAACUGCAUUUGUGACUGCAAGGCUAGAGUACGGCAGAGGGGGGUAGAAUUCCACGUGUAGCAGUGAAAUGCGUAGAUAUGUGGAGGAAUACCGAUGGCGAAGGCAGCCCCCUGGGUCGAUACUGACGCUCAUGCACGAAAGCGUGGGGAGCAAACAGGAUUAGAUACCCUGGUAGUCCACGCCCUAAACGAUGUCAACUAGGUGUUGGGGGAGGAGACUUCCUUAGUACCGCAGCUAACGCGUGAAGUUGACCGCCUGGGGAGUACGGCCGCAAGGUUGAA